rnacentral:rRNA from 1 species
AACCUCCGCAAUGUGAGAAAUCGCGACGGGGGGAUCCCAAGUGCCAUUCUUAACGGGAUGGCUUUUCAUUAGUGUAAAGAGCUUUUGGAAUAAGAGCUGGGCAAGACCGGUGCCAGCCGCCGCGGUAACACCGGCAGCUCUAGUGGUAACAAUUUUUAUUGGGCCUAAAGCGUCCGUAGCCGGUUUAAUAAGUCUCUGGUGAAAUCCUGCAGCUUAACUGUGGGAAUUGCUGGAGAUACUAUUAGACUUGAGACCGGGAGAGGUUAGAGGUACUCCCAGGGUAGAGGUGAAAUUCUGUAAUCCUGGGGGACCGCCUGUUGCGAAGGCGUCUAACUGGAACGGUUCUGACGGUGAGGGACGAAAGUUAGGGCGCGAACCGGAUUAGAUACCCGGGUAGCCUAACUGUAAACGAUGCGGACUUGGUGUUGGGGUGGCUUUGAGCUGCUUCAGUGCCGAAGGGAAGCUGUUAAGUCCGCCGCCUGGGAAGUACGGUCGCAAGACUGAAACUUAAAGGAAUU